rnacentral:rRNA from 1 species
CCCUUAGAUGUUCUGGGCCGCACGCGCGCUACACUGAUUCAUGCAACAAGUUUUGUCCUUGGCUGAUAGGCCUGGGUAAUCUUUGAACGUGAAUCGUGAUGGGGAUAGAUGAUUGCAAUUAUUCAUCUUCAACGAGGAAUUCCUGGUAAACGCAAGUCAUCAGCUUGCAUUGAUUACGUCCCUGCCCUUUGUACACACCGCCCGUCGCACCUACCGAUUGAAUGGUCCGGUGAAAUCUUCGGAUCUGAGAGAUGUCUGAUUAAUUUCGGACGCCUUUUGGAAAAGUUGCUUAAACCUUACCAUUUAGAGGAAGGUGAAGUCGUAACA